rnacentral:sRNA from 1 species
GCUGGUGCUUCACAUAGAUGACAGGGCAACCUGGACGGUGAUAACGCAGUUGCAAGGCGUUGUUGCCGUUUACAUA